rnacentral:misc_RNA from 1 species
UCGCAAUCUUUAAUCACUUUCUCCCUCAAAUCUCUCAUUUUUUCAAUCUCUGUGUUUGUUUUAGCUUCUGGGUUUUGUUCAAAUCUGAGCUUCACAGCAGAUACUACUAUCAUUUUAUUCUCUUUUAUUCCUUUGUCAAAUUUUAUUCGACUAAAAUGACUGUAGAGCAAGGAAUUGGACAACCUAGAGACCAGUUUCCCAUUGGCAUGCGGGUUUUGGCCGUUGACGAUGACCCUACUUGCCUCUUGCUGCUAGAGACCCUGCUUCGUCGAUGCCAAUACCAUGUUACCACGAC